rnacentral:rRNA from 1 species
AAGUAAAAGUCGUAACAAGGUUUCCGUAGGUGAACCUGCGGAAGGAUCAUUAUCGUACAAUGGAGGUGCUGGGGUUGUCGCUGACUUUUGAAAGGGUCGUGCACACCUCGGUGCUCUCGCACAUAAUCCAUCUCACCCCUUUUGUGCAUCACCGCGUGGGGACCCCUUUUGGCUAGUUCUGAGGGGGGUUUUCACGUUUUUACACAGACACCCUUUUAAUGCAAUGUGUAGAAUGUCUUACUUUUUGCGAUCACACGCAAUCAAUACAACUUCAACAACGCGUAUGUGAUUGCAGAAUUCAGUGAAUCAUCGAAUCUUUGAACGCACCUUGCGCCCUUUGGCAUUCCGAGGGGCACACCCGUUUGAGUGUCGUGACAUCCUCAAAACCUUCUUGGUUUCUUGACCGGGAAGGCUUUUGGACUUUGGAGGCUUUUGCUGGCCUUCCUUUGUUGGAGCCAGCUCCUCUGAAAUGAAUUAGUGGGGUCUGCUUUGCCGAUCCUUGACGUGAUAAGAUGUUUUCUACGUCUUGGGUUUCGCACUGUUCGAUCUGGAUCCUGCUUCUAACUGUCUCAUAGAAGACAAUGGUCAAGUGAUUGCCACUUGACCCACAAACCUUGACCUCAAAUCGGGUGAGACUACCCGCUGAACUUAAGCAUAUCAAUAAGCGGAGGAAGG